CGGCAGAGACGCUCCCUUCGGUUCGGCCGGAGUCCGCACAGGUGCUGCAUGGCUGUCGUCAGCUCGUGUCGUGAGAUGUUGGGUUAAGUCCCGCAACGAGCGCAACCCUCGUCUCCAGUUGCCAUCAGGUUAUGCUGGGCACUUUGGAGAAACUGCCGGUGACAAGCCGGAGGAAGGUGGGGAUGACGUCAAGUCCUCAUGGCCCUUACGGGCUGGGCUACACACGUGCUACAAUGGCGGUGACAAUGGGAUGCGAUGGCGCGAGCCGGAGCCGAUCCUAAAAAACCGUCUCAGUUCGGAUUGCACUCUGCAACUCGAGUGCAUGAAGUUGGAAUCGCUAGUAAUCGAGGAUCAGCAUGCCUCGGUGAAUACGUUCCCGGGCCUUGUACACACCGCCCGUCACGCCAUGGGAGUUGGUUCUACCCGAAGAUGGUGCGCUAACCGCAAGGAGGCAGCCAGCCACGGUAGGAUCAAUGACUGGGGCGAAGUCGUAACAAGGUAAGCGUAGUGCU
rnacentral:rRNA from 1 species